rnacentral:rRNA from 1 species
GAUGAACGCUGGCGGCGUGCUUAACACAUGCAAGUCGAACGAAGCAUUUUCGACAGAUUUUUUCGGAAUGAAGUUGCUUAUGACUGAGUGGCGGACGGGUGAGUAACGCGUGGGUAACCUGCCUUGUACUGGGGGAUAGCAGCUGGAAACGGCUGGUAAUACCGCGUAAGCGCACAAUGUUGCAUGACAUGGUGUGAAAAACUCCGGUGGUAUAAGAUGGACCCGCGUCUGAUUAGCUAGUUGGUGAGAUAACAGCCCACCAAGGCGACGAUCAGUAGCCGACCUGAGAGGGUGACCGGCCACAUUGGGACUGAGACACGGCCCAGACUCCUACGGGAAGCAGCAGUGGGGAAUAUUGCACAAUGGAGGAAACUCUGAUGCAGCGACGCCGCGUGAGUGAAGAAGUAAUUCGUUAUGUAAAGCUCUAUCAGCAGGGAAGAUAGUGACGGUACCUGACUAAGAAGCUCCGGCUAAAUACGUG